CCUACGGGACGCAGCAGUGGGGAAUAUUGCGCAAUGGGCGAAAGCCUGACGCAGCGACGCCGCGUGAGGGAUGAAGGUCUUCGGAUCGUAAACCUCUGUCAGCAGGGAAGCACGGUCACUGUGCUAAUCAGCAGUGAAUUGACGGUACCUGCAAAGGAAGCACCGGCUAACUCCGUGCCAGCAGCCGCGGUAAUACGGAGGGUGCGAGCGUUAAUCGGAAUUACUGGGCGUAAAGCGCUCGUAGGCGGUAUGUCAAGUCAAGGGUGAAAUCCCCGCGCUCAACGUGGGAACUGCCUUUGAAACUGGCAAACUGGAGUGUGUGAGAGGAUAGUGGAAUUCGAGGUGUAGGAGUGAAAUGCGUAGAUAUCUGGAGGAACAUCAGUGGCGAAGGCGACUAUCUGGCACAUAACUGACGCUGAGGAGCGAAAGCGUGGGUAGCAAACAGGAUUAGAUACCCCAGUAGUC
rnacentral:rRNA from 1 species